UACGUAGGGUGCAAGCGUUAAUCGGAAUUACUGGGCGUAAAGCGUGCGCAGGCGGUUAUAUAAGACAGUUGUGAAAUCCCCGGGCUCAACCUGGGAACUGCAUCUGUGACUGUAUAGCUAGAGUACGGUAGAGGGGGAUGGAAUUCCGCGUGUAGCAGUGAAAUGCGUAGAUAUGCGGAGGAACACCGAUGGAGAAGGCAAUCCCCUGGACCUGUACUGACGCUCAUGCACGAAAGCGUGGGGAGCAAACAGG
rnacentral:rRNA from 1 species